AGUGAACGCUGGCGGUAGGCCUAACACAUGCAAGUCGAACGGCAGCACAGUAAGAGCUUGCUCUUACGGGUGGCGAGUGGCGGACGGGUGAGGAAUACAUCGGAAUCUACUUUUUCGUGGGGGAUAACGUAGGUAAACUUACGCUAAUACCGCAUACGACCUACGGGUGAAAGCAGGUGAUCUUCGGACCUUGCGCGAUUGAAUGAGCCGAUGUCGGAUUAGCUAGUUGGCGGGGUAAAGGCCCACCAAGGCGACGAUCCGUAGCUGGUCUGAGAGGAUGGUCAGCCACACUGGAACAGAGACACGGUCCAGACUCCUACGGGGGGCAGCAGUGGGGAAUAUUGGGCGAUGGGGGCAAGCCUGAUCCAGCCAUAGCGCGUGGGUGAAGAAGGCCUUCGGGUUGUAGAGCCCUUUUGUUGGGAAAGAAGAGAAGCAGGUUAAUACCCCGCUGUUCUGACGGUACCCAAAGAAUAAGCACCGGCUAACUUCGUG
rnacentral:rRNA from 1 species